ACAGAACCGCACUUAUACCCUGCGGAGUGGGCCAGAAUACCGCACUUAUAUCCUGCGGAGUGGGCCAGAAUACCACACUUAUACCCUGUGGUGGGGCCAGAAUUCCACACUUAUACCCUGUGGUGGGGCCAGAAUUGCCAAUGCAUAACCCCCUAUUGGCAGGGUCCAGAACAUAGCCAGGCUGAGAGUUCUAAAUCUGAUGCACAUCAAAAUUCUUUUGUAACAUAAUAGAUAUAUCAUAAUCCGAUCUAAAUAUGCAUAUACGAUGCAAGAACAGUAAUAUAACAAUAGUUCAAAAAAAUAUUAUUCCAAUUCACAUAUCCAUUUUUCAUUCAAAGCAUCAUCUCGUAAAAUUCAUAAAUCAUAUAUAAAUUCAUUAACAAUUUACUUGAUGCAAAAAUAAUAUUAUAUAAAUGAAGAGUUUAGAGAAGGCAGUUUAUUACUUACAUUGAACGCGAUCCACAGUAAAUCCAAUUAAUCUCACAAAUUCCUCGCAAGACCUAAUAUCCAAAAAUCAUAUUUUCUUUCAAAAUUAAUCAUAAUAUAUAUAAAAACUUAAAUUUAAUAUUUCCCCAUGGCCGACCCUGCAGGAGUGCCUAGCACCCUGAGUUCGGGUUCGGGUUCGGGUUCAUACCCGUAGACCAUCCUCUUCCCUUAUU
rnacentral:lncRNA from 1 species